UGUCCAUGUCAUAUUGGAAUACCACUUCCUGUAUGAUCACCAAAGUUAAGCAGCAUCAAGCCUGAUUAGUACCUAGAUGGGUGACCGCUUGUGAAUAUCAAGUGCUGUAAG